rnacentral:rRNA from 1 species
UACGUAGGGUGCAAGCGUUUGUCCGGAAUUAUUGGGCGUAAAGAGCUCGUAGGCGGUCUGUCGCGUCGGCUGUGAAAACCCGGGGCUCAACCCCGGGCCUGCAGUCGAUACGGGCAGACUAGAGUGCGGUAGGGGAGACUGGAAUUCCUGGUGUAGCGGUGAAAUGCGCAGAUAUCAGGAGGAACACCGGUGGCGAAGGCGGGUCUCUGGGCCGUAACUGACGCUGAGGAGCGAAAGGCGUGGGGAGCGAACAGG